rnacentral:lncRNA from 1 species
AUUUCUUCAGCCCAAUUGCACAACCAAGGAAGCCGUAACCAGCAUGUCCUUUGGCUUUCAGUGUUCAGAACAUUGUGCAAAGCCCCAGUGGGCUCUGUGUGAUGCAUAUCUUUGCUUUAGCAUCUGAUUACUGGGGUUUGGUAACAAAAUGCACCCACAUACCCCCAUUACGUAGCACUUAAAUAAGAAUCACUGACAUUCUCUAAAUGGAUACUUUGUUUAAAACCUUUUUUCUUUUUUCUUUUUUUUUUUCUUUUUUUUUUUCUUUUUUUUUUUUUUUCCCCUGCCUGGCUUAAAGAUGACCAGCAGUGGGAGAAAUAGAGCUUAGGAUUUCAGCCUGCUACUCUGAAGAAACCAAGCAACGUGGGAAUCAUAUUUACCCCGAAAUAAUUCUCUCUGCUUUUAUGAACCUUUCUUUGAGCUGUAGUGCUUGAGUGCAUGAAACCCCACAUUCCUGCUGUAAAGAUGCAGAAUGGAAGAUGCCAAUGGUGCCAGUGAUCGCUUUUGCAAAUCUAUGCAAUGUCUAUCUGCAGGAAAUCAGAAAGGAAAAAAAAAAAAUCUAGUUUGGAUGGGCAAAUGCAAUCACUAUUGAAUCACUGGCAGUGGAUCAAGAUGAGGAGCUUCUCUGGGGCUGUGCUGGACCUGAGCUGAGGAUGCAUGGAAGGGGUGAAGAGAUUGCAGUGUGCAAAAUUGACUGCCACUGUCACUAAAAGAACCUGGGUUCCUGCUCACUGUCCCAUGCUGGAGGACACAAGCCCAGUGGUGAAAGCUCUACCAAGGACAAACCCGGGGUGUGCUGAAGCCCGUGUUUUGUUUGGAUGUCCCUUGAAGUGAAGGCCUGUCACUUGUAGAGUGGGGAAAAUGCCAUUUCCCUGCUGCAGAGGCCAUCAGAAGUGGUCAUCAAAGGGCUGAGAGUCAAUGGACCACACAGCAGUGCCCAGGUCUUGGGGAGGAGACAGCAAACCCUCCCUGCAGCUCAUCAGUUUUGAGAAAUGCUUCAAGGUCUGCAGAGGGCUUCCCAGAAGGAGGUAUAGAAGGACCUUUUUCUACUUUUGAAAACUAAAUUAGUGCUUUUGUGUGAGGCUUUCCCUGCCUCAUUUUGGGAAUUGAUAAUCUUUUUCGUGUCUAAGGAAACCUGGACAAAAAUAAAAUUUCAACCCAGCUCA